rnacentral:rRNA from 1 species
AUACGUAGGUGACAAGCGUUAUCCGGAUUUACUGGGCGUAAAGGGCGUGUAGGCGGUCUUGCAAGUCAGAAGUGAAAUUCCUGAGCUCAACUCGGGCGCUGCUUCUGAAACUGCAGGACUUGAGUGCUGGAGGGGAUAGCGGAAUUCCUAGUGGAGCGGUAAAAUGCGCAGAUAUUAGGAAGAACACCGGUGGCGAAGGCGGCUAUCUGGACAGUAACUGACGCUGAGGCGCGAAAGCGUGGGGAGCAAACAGGAUUAGAUCCCCUGGUAGUCCACGCCGUAAACGAUGAAUACUAGGUGUGGGAGGUAUCGACUCCUUCCGUGCCGGAGUUAACGCAAUAAGUACCCCGCCUGGGGAGUACGGCCGCAAGGCUUAAACUCAAAUGAAUUGACGGGG